rnacentral:rRNA from 1 species
GACGAACGCUGGCGGCGUGCUUAACACAUGCCAGUCGAACGGAAAGGCCCUGCUUUUGUGGGGUGCUCGAGUGGCGAACGGGUGAGUAACACGUGAGUAACCUGCCCUUGACUUUGGGAUAACUUCAGGAAACUGGGGCUAAUACCGGAUAGGAGCUCCUGCUGCAUGGUGGGGGUUGGAAAGUUUCGGCGGUUGGGGAUGGACUCGCGGCUUAUCAGCUUGUUGGUGGGGUAGUGGCUUACCAAGGCUUUGACGGGUAGCCGGCCUGAGAGGGUGACCGGCCACAUUGGGACUGAGAUACGGCCCAGACUCCUACGGGAGGCAGCAGUGGGGAAUAUUGCACAAUGGGCGGAAGCCGGAUGCAGCAACGCCGCGUGCGGGAUGACGGCCUUCGGGUUGUAAACCGCUUUCGCCUGUGACGAAGCGUGAGUGACGGUAAUGGGUAAAGAAGCACCGGCUAACUACGUG